rnacentral:lncRNA from 13 species
UAGGCAGAAAGGGGGAAGGCACAUAAAACCAGGCUGCUUUCCUCCGCUCCCACAGAGCUAGCUCGAAAGACUCACAGUAAGAGAGGUGGGGUAGGGAAGGACUGCCUUUGUGUUGUUUUAGAACAUAAGAUUAUGUGCUUCAAGAGCAGAGGAAGAUAGUUUAAAGGGUAUACUUUCAUAUUGUCAGAUUCAACAGGAGUGGAAUAUUGGAGCAGCCUCGGGCCAGCAACGUGCUGAGAUCAGGAAGUGCUUCCUUACCUGAAGCUGUACACUUAGUUACAGGGUCAAAUGGUCACAUAAAGAAAUUCUGUAACAGAGACUUUGUGGGUAGCAAGAGGAUCUCCACGGGACUAAACUUUGCUCUGAUAAGGAGACCGAGGCCAAGGAAGCUGUAGGAGGAAGUGUGUGGCAGAGUUGCUGUUUAAAUCCCAGACAUGGAUAAUUGUACGUGUCAACUUGGCUAGGCCAUAAAGCCCAGUUUGGUUCUGUCAAAUAUAAAUCCCGACAUUGCUGUGGAUAUAUGUUUUAGAUGUGAUUAAGAUUUAAAUCACAGCCGGGCGCAGUGGCUCACACCUGUAAUUGAAGCACUUUGGGAGGCCGAGGUGGGUGGAUCACCAGGUCAAGAGAUCGAGACCAUCCUGGUCAACAUGGUGAAACCCCGUCUCUACUAAAAAUACAAAAAAUUAGCUGGGCAUGGUGGCACGUGCCUGUAAUCCCAGCUACUACUCAGGAGGCUGAGGCAGGAGAAUUGCCUGAACCUAGGAGGCGGAGGUUGCAGUGAGCCGAGAUCACACCAUUGCACUCCAGCCUGGGUAACAAGAGUGAAACUCCGUCUCAAAAAAAAAAAAAAAAAAAAAAAAAAAAAGAUUUAAAUCAGUAGACUUAAAGCAGAUGACCCUGUAUGAUUUGAAUAGUCCUCAUCCAAUUAGUCAAUGGACUUAAGAGAAAAGACUAAGGUUUCUUGAAAAAGAAAAAAAUCAUCUUCAAGUCUUCAACAUAGAAGCCCUGCCUGAGUUUCCAGCUUGCAACAUUUUAACUCUUCCCUGAAUUUCCAGCCUGCAGAUUUUGGACUUGUCACUUCUACAACCAUGUGAGCCAAUUCCCCGAAGUCUCUCCUCUCUGUCUCUCUCUUUCUUGCCAAUGGAUUCUGUUUCUCUGGAGUACCUUGACCAAUAGUCCUUGUAUGUUCUUUCUGUGUACUUUUUGGUGUCCUACAGCUAGACUUU